UUUAUGAGUGGAGCUGGCGCUCUGCCCGGCCCUAUGGGUGCUCUGCCUCCCGUCCCACAGUCCCUUACUGGAUCAGCUGUGCUCUACGCUUAACCCUUUACUGACACUUUACACACGUCUGAGCCAGGAACCUCAGUUAAAAAACGAAAAUCGAAUGGACGCAAAAGUACACAUGAUUAUAAUGUGUUUAACCGAGAAACCUGGCAUCUGGCAACCCUGAUAAAAACAUCAGGAAGGGUCAGAACAUCAGUGGUGACAAUCAUCCAUAUUUAUAGACCACAAGUUAGUCUCACUUCUUUCUUCCUCUUAACUCUGAGUUUCGUUGUCUUUUUUAUUUUUUUUAUUUUGCAACAUAUACUUUGCAUUUUGCCAAAAAUGAAAGUGAAAACAGUUGAGUUUACUAUUACAACUUAGUGCAGAAGUCACUUGAACUUUGGCAAGGAUAAGUUCGGAUAUUUCUUUGUUCCUAUUUUUUUUAUAUUCUUUCCUCAUAUGUUGUCAUAAACAGUUAGAACAAUGCAUUUGUGUGUCAUUCAGAAUCAAAUUGAGAAUUAAUUUUAUAAACCACUUCAAUUUGGAACUGUGUCGCUGAACCAAACAGAUGAUUACAAGUACUUGCUUUCUUAGAGUUUUGUUUCUUGUUACGCUCGAAAAUAGAUCCCAUUGUUUGUUUGAUUUUUUACAUUUUCUCGUGCUAAAUCGGGCAUAUGCCUGCAAAUUAAACAUUGUCACUUUCUC